CCUACGGGAGGCUGCAGUGGGGAAUUUUGGACAAUGGGCGCAAGCCUGAUCCAGCUAUUCCGCGUGUGGGAUGAAGGCCCUCGGGUUGUAAACCACUUUUUUAGAGAACGUAAAGCCACCUUCGAAUAUUGGGUGUUGCUGACGGUACUCUAAGAAUACGCCCCGGCUAACUACGUGCCAGCAGCUGCGGUAAUACGUAGGGUGCGAGCGUUAAUCGGAAUUACUGGGCGUAAGGGGUGCGCAGGCGGUUGAGUAAGACAGAUGUGAAAUCCCCGAGCUUAACUCGGGAAUGGCAUAUGUUACUGCUCGACUAGAGUGUGUCAGAGGGAGGUGGAAUUCCACGUGUAGCAGUGAAAUGCGUAGAUAUGUGGAAGAACACCGAUGGCGAAGGCAGCCUCCUGGGACAUAACUGACGCUCAGGCACGAAAGCGUGGGGAGCAAACAGGAUUAGAUACCCGGGUAGUC
rnacentral:rRNA from 1 species